AACGAACGCUGGCGGCAUGCCUAACACAUGCAAGUCGAACGAGACCUUCGGGUCUAGUGGCGCACGGGUGCGUAACGCGUGGGAACCUGCCCUUAGGUUCGGAAUAACUCCCCGAAAGGGGUGCUAAUACCGGAUAAUGUCUUCGGACCAAAGAUUUAUCGCCUUUGGAUGGGCCCGCGUUGGAUUAGCUAGUUGGUAGGGUAAAAGCCUACCAAGGCGACGAUCCAUAGCUGGUCUGAGAGGAUGAUCAGCCACACUGGGACUGAGACACGGCCCAGACUCCUACGGGAGGCAGCAGUGGGGAAUAUUGGACACUGGGCGAAAGCCUGAUCCAGCAAUGCCGCGUGAGUGAUGAAGGACUUAGGGUUGUAAAGCUCUUUUACCCGGGAUGAUAAUGACAGUACCGGGAGAAUAAGCGCCGGCUAACUCCGUG
rnacentral:rRNA from 1 species